rnacentral:rRNA from 1 species
UACGAAGGGGGCUAGCGUUGCUCGGAAUUACUGGGCGUAAAGGGAGCGUAGGCGGACAUUUAAGUCAGAGGUGAAAUCCCGGAGCUUAACUUCGGAACUGCCUUUGAUACUGGGUGUCUUGAGUGUGAGAGAGGUAUGUGGAACUCCGAGUGUAGAGGUGAAAUUCGUAGAUAUUCGGAAGAACACCAGUGGCGAAGGCGACAUACUGGCUCAUUACUGACGCUGGAGGCUCGAAAGCGUCGGGGAGCAAACAGG